rnacentral:rRNA from 1 species
CCUACGGGAGGCAGCAGUGGGGAAUAUUGGACAAUGGGCGAAAGCCUGAUCCAGCCAUGCCGCGUGUGUGAAGAAGGUCUUCGGAUUGUAAAGCACUUUAAGUUGGGAGGAAGGGCAGUUACCUAAUACGUGAUUGUUUUGACGUUACCGACAGAAUAAGCACCGGCUAACUCUGUGCCAGCAGCCGCGGUAAUAC